rnacentral:lncRNA from 1 species
UCCCAGAUAGGGAUAAAUUUGACCUGGCUUCUCACCAGGAAAAAAAAAAAAAGCAUCUAUACAUAUAGAAAAAUAACCAUAAUACCUGGAAAAUGAUGACAAGAGAUGCAAGCAAGGUGCUUUAGGAAAGAUGAUUUCCCUGUGGGAAUUCAACAAAGACUUCUGGAGGAGGUGGCGUUAUUUAAGCUGAACUUUGAAGUGAGAGUAAAAUUUGGACGUGAGACAUUAUUGUUUGGGGAAUGGGGUGGGUGGAAUAGUAAAGAGAGUGGAGGCUUUUCUAGCUGCAAUGUCUGUUGUCGAAUUGUAUCACCUGACAUUGCUGAUAUUUUACUGUUUCACCUACAGUAACAUGGAUGUCAGAUGCUAGAACGUAACACUUCCCAGGGAAGUGGAGACAGGGACCCCAGGUUGUAGAGAGAAAACAAGGAAGGAGUUCAGUGUCUAUCCGUAGCUGGUAAACAUUGCACCCAGUUUCCCCUUUUGACCAUCUACAGAUAGAAAUCUAGGGAUGGCAUUUUCCUGAUAUUGCAAAGUCGGUCGAUUGUCCAAAGACUUGCACUUUCGAAUCAGACUGAACUGGAAGGCACUAUUGCACCCUCAAGUCUGAAAGAUUUGAGUUCAAAUCCUGGCUCUACAACUUGUGAGCUAUACGACCCGCUUCGUGACCUUCUCCAUACUUGGCUCACCUGGAAAUCGGUGGUAAUAACAGCACUGCCCUUCCUCCUAAGAUGGUGGAGAUGAUUAUGGGAGGUGAUGCCUGCAUUGCUUAACGCAACAGCUGGCCCUCGGGACCUACCCAGCAGCGCUGUAACCCUGUGUCAAGAGGCACUGCAGAUGACAUGGUAGCCACACAUCAUAAAGGCAAUGCCAUCCUCAUUUCGGUGGAGGUGACAAGACUGUGACCUAUUUUAGCACCUCCUUCAGUCAUAAGCAAAGGAGGAAAGGAGACAAACGGAAACACAACGCUUGAGUUUCUCAGGCCAGGUGACAAGAAUAACCAGGGCUGGACCUGAUCCUGUAAAGCCCUUCGAUUGCAUGCAAACUUCAGAGCAAACCCGCUAAGGAAUUUCAGUUCCCAGGUCUCCCCUGGCAGGCACACCUGGCACAGAGAUGGGUUCUUUGCGCAAAAGCCUUUCUGCCAAGCGACCAACUCAACCACCAUGGAGUGGUUCCUGGGAAAGCAGCCGAGAUCCCGGGAUGGCAGGCUUGCUUGGGCACCAGAGGUGCAGGAAAAACAGACACUUGGCUUUCCAGGAAAGGAAAUCUCGGCCAAUUAGGAAAAUCUAAAACCAGAGAGGUAAGGCAGCCAAGGGCACAUCCCGUCUGGAAAGCUCGGGGUGGGGACAGGCACCAACCGGGUGAGGGGUGGCUAACCCGUCUUGGUUCCCAGCCUGCCACUUCAUCUGAAGCCAUUUCCUGCUGCGCAUGGGGACAGCGUCCUACCACCACCAGGAAGACUGGCUUGUGUAUUUUAUCAUCAUCAUCAUUAAGGAUUUUUAAAUGAAAUUUGGGAUUCGAACGUCAAUAGCCCUUGGGAUGGGCCACUGCUUGGAGAGUAAGAGCGCUUUGGGAACAUUCUCUGCCAGCCUCCCCUGGCCCUCCCGCCUGCCCUUCCCCCUCAUCACUGUCCUUGGCGACCUACAUCUCCAACCAGAGGGGGUGUAGGACCAUCAAGGGGGCCUGCUCUGUCCCCGUUUCCGGCAGGUUCCUCAGGCCAGCUUGGCUGGCAUCUUCCUGCUUCUGGGUUCAUUUUCUACCACUCCCUCCCACCCAAAAAGAAUUGGUGGAUAUGGGGCAGGAGUGCGUUGUGAACAUCCUGAGACAGGGUCCUCUCUGGGGACCGGAGCCCCCUGUAAAAGCGCUCAGGGCAGCACUUCUCCCUGCUGCCCCGAACAAUUUCCUCGCAGUUUAAAUUUUCAUUUAAAGUCACCAUUUCCAGUCCUACUGACAAGUCUGCAAGGUCGGAAAGUGGCCCUGGCUGGGAGCAGCGGCGCGGGCAGCAGGCAGCCAGGCCUGGCCGGUGUGUUGACAGCUGGGAGCCAUCCCGGCGGCCUGGGGACCAGUUCACGCUGCGAGAUCGGUUCCGCCCACCCUGACUGGGCCAGAGCUCCUGCCAUGCAGCUCCAGGCCCUCGCACUCAGGAGGCGUCUUCUCUGUCCUUCCCUCUGCAGCGUCAGCAGGCCUGGCUCUUCACCUCACCUCCUCGAGGGAGCUCUGGAGAAUUUCCCCUCUAAUUUCAAAGACAGCAUCUCCUACUUGGUCCCACUGUGACUGCCUUUAAAGACUAAAGCUACCCAGGGAGAUCAUUCGGCCAAAGGUCAGAGGGCUCAGCCCCAUGCCGGGCUCCCUGAUGCAAAAUAAGUGAGUCCACAGGCCCAUCUCGGGAGAAAUGGGACAGGAGGACCCCCAGGGUUGAGACCCCUCUUGCUCAUGGAUUCAAGUUCCCAUGUAUACUGGCAGCAGCCCGGGAGUGGAGUCUUUCCCCAGGAGGUGACAUUGGCAUUGCAUCUUGAAAAAGGAAGAGGCGCCAGGGGAGAGGGACAGUAUUUGUCAAAGACCAGGAGACAGGCAUUCUGAGCCCUGGGGCUGUUUCUGGUUUGUGAAAAGCAGGAAGUCCCCUGAGCGGAGUCUGCAGAGAGGCCUGGAGCCAGACCAGGAAUGGCCUCCCGGGUAAAUGUUCAACAAGCAGCUGUGGGCCGAACUGGGCAAGUUGCUGACAUGUAAUAUCUGUACCAAUUUCCGUGGUGUAAAUACCUCCCUCCAUGGCAGGUUUCAAUCUACCAAUAGUUUGACUCGCAACUCACAAAAAUUCCUGGAGAUUUAACAGUCAGUUUGCAAACUGCAAAGGCCAGCUCCAACAGCAAUGGUGCUUCACACAUCAGAUGUAACCCCCCCCUCCCCGUCCCCACUCCCCCAUUCCCUGCCAAAGAAUCUCUACAAAGGCCUUGGGGAAGGGGCCCCAUUAAUUAACCCAGUCUCCCUCACCUCUCCUUGCCCAUAGCUGUUCCUUCUAUCUGCCUCAUGGACACAGGCGUGAAGCUCAGUCACUUUUCCUGGAGAUCCACAAAAAAAUGCUCCGUCACACAGCGUAGCCACCCUGUGGAGGGGAGAAGGCCCACAUCACAACGAUGCUAAUGACAUCAAAUGUUAAACUGCCCAUUCUUAAAUUUUCCCUUAGCCAUUUCCAUCAUGCUGGGCUUUGGUUCCUGCCAUAGUUCUUUGUCCCCCUCUCUCCAAUCUUGACCGACUCCCUCUGUCCUUGACCCCCCCCCCUUCCUCCAAGCCCUCCUAUCUAUCAAAGAGAGCAAUUUGGCCCUUUCUCCCCACCCCUGGCCCAGGCCUUCACUGCUUGGUGCAAAUCCAAGCCACCAAUGGCUAUUUCCAGUCCGAAGGACUUCUGGGCAUGGAGAGAAAUGUUGACCAUGAUUUAUAUCUAGUUUAAUGCCCAUUUAAUGUCCACUAAUCUUAUGAAAUUAUAGUUUAAAAUUAUGAAGAGUUUAUCAGCAUUCUUUUAAAUAUGCACACAUUGCUAGUAGCUACUAAAUUAAACAUUCAUUGUAAACAACAAUGUACCACCACACACCUGUCGGACGGACCAAAACCCAGAGCAUGGACAGCACUGAUGCUGGCAGGAUGUGGAGCAACAGGAACGCUCAUUCAUCGUUAGUGGGAAUGUAAAAAAAUGGUGCAGCCAACAUUUCUCACAGAGCUAAACAUAGUCUUACCGUCCGAUCCAGCCGUCGCCAUCCACGGUCUUUACCUAAACGCGCUGAAACUCGCCCACACAAAAACCUGCACACAAAUAUCUAGAGCAGCUUUUUCAUAAUUACCAAAACUUGGGAGCAACCAGGGAGUCCUUCAGCAGGUGAAUGGACAAACUGAUACAGCCAGAAAAUGGAAUAUCAUUUAGAACUAAAAGGGAAGAGAAGAAAAAAAGAAAAAAAAAAAAAAAAAAGAGCUACCAAGCCAUGGAAAGACAUGGAGGAAGCUUAAAUGCAUGUUGCUAAGUGGAAAAAAAAAAGCCAGAUUAUAAAGUCUACAUGCUGUAUGAUUCCAACUGUAUGAAAAUCUGGAAAAGAAAACUAUGGAGACAGAGGAAGGAACAGUGGUGGCCAGAGCCUGGGGGGUGUCGUGCGGAAGGAUGAAUAGACUGAGCACAGAGGCUUCUAAGGGCAGUGAAAGUCCUCUGUAGGAUGCCACAGUGGUGGGUUCAUGUCAUUAUGUAUUUGUCCAAACCCCUGGAACGCACACCAUCCAGAGCGAACCCUAAUGUGAACGAGGGACUUUGGCUGAUGAUGCUGCAUCAGGGCAAGCUCACAGAUUGUAGUUCACGUACCUACCACUCUGGCGGGGGGAAUGUUGAUAGUGUGAGGCUUGUGUGUGGUUGGGGCACAGGGCGUAAAUGGGAAUUCUCUCACUUCCCACAAUUUUGCUGCAAACCCAAAACUGAUCUACAAAUAAAUUCUUUUCUUAAAAAUGUCAUGAAUUUAGCACAUUGGAUUUUCACAAACAUUUAACAUGGAUUGCAUACUUACAGAAACACCUCUGAACACUUAGCUUAAUUCACAAAUUUAAUACAGCAGAUCCCUCCAAAACCUCAAGGUAUAAAAUAUAUGCAAAAUAUCCUGAUUCCAAAGCUAUUUAAUACCCUCACAUCAAAACCAGUUAUAAAAGUGCUAAUAUUGUAGGAUUUUAUUUUGUUUCUUAUCCUGAAUUCCACACCUUCCUGGGGUGCCAGUUUUGACACCUUCCUAGGAUUUCAGUGAUUUUUACCAAAUACUAUUUUUACCUUCCUAGGGAUUUUAAUAAUCUUAGCAGACCAAAAGAAAAAGAAAAAGCACCACUGCAGAGUGCCAGAGUUGCAAAAUCUGGGUAGUUGAACAAUUAAUUCUGGGUCAGAAUGUGAGCCUGGGUUGCAAAGUCCUGGGAGAAGACAUCAAAUGGGGGGAGGGCUAGCUUCUAUUCAUAAUUUUUCUUGUUUUUCCAAUAAGACCUUUUAAGUUUUUACCCUUUGAAAAGUUCAUUUGGUUUUACAGCAUUGAAUUUUCCCCUGAAAUGAUGUGAAUCCUCAUCUGACUUGGCCAGCGUUGGCCUAACCUGUUGUCCUGUCAUCAUGAUGUAUUGACCUGAUCUGUUAGCAUUAUUAAAAAUGGGCCUCUCCUG